rnacentral:antisense_RNA from 1 species
CUUCACCGAGCCCAGCCACAGCGGCCGGUCGUCGGCGCGUUCCUUGCCGUACGUGGCGAGGAGCGCCUGCGCCUC